UACGUAGGGUGCAAGCGUUAAUCGGAAUUACUGGGCGUAAAGCGUGCGCUGGCGGUUCGGAAAGAAAGAUGUGAAAUCCCAGAGCUUAACUUUGGAACUGCAUUUUUAACUACCGAGCUAGAGUGUGUCAGAGGGAGGUGGAAUUCCGCGUGUAGCAGUGAAAUGCGUAGAUAUGCGGAGGAACACCGAUGGCGAAGGCAGCCUCCUGGGAUAACACUGACGCUCAUGCACGAAAGCGUGGGGGAGCAAACAGGAUUAGAUACCCUGGUAGUCCACGCCCUAAACGAUGUCAACUAGCUGUUGGGGCCUUCGGGCCUUGGUAGCGCAGCUAACGCGUGAAGUUGACCGCCUGGGGAGUACGGUCGCAAGAUUAAAACUCAA
rnacentral:rRNA from 1 species